rnacentral:rRNA from 1 species
AGUGAACGCUGGCGGUAUGCCUAACACAUGCAAGUCGAACGGCAGCACAGUAAGAGCUUGCUCUUACGGGUGGCGAGUGGCGGACGGUUGAGGAAUACAUCGGAAUCUACUUUUUCGUGGGGGAUAACGUAGGGAAACUUACGCUAAUACCGCAUACGACCUACGGGUGAAAGCAGGGGAUCUUCGGACCUUGCGCGAUUGAAUGAGCCGAUGUCGGAUUAGCUAGUUGGCGGGGUAAAGGCCCACCAAGGCGACGAUCCGUAGCUGGUCUGAGAGGAUGAUCAGCCACACUGGAACUGAGACACGGUCCAGACUCCUACGGGAGGCAGCAGUGGGGAAUAUUGGACAAUGGGCGCAAGCCUGAUCCAGCCAUACCGCGUGGGUGAAGAAGGCCUUCGGGUUGUAAAGCCCUUUUGUUGGGAAAGAAAAGCAGCAGGUUAAUACCCCGCUGUUCUGACGGUAACCAAAGAAUAAGCACCGGCUAACUUCGUG